rnacentral:rRNA from 1 species
GACGAACGCUGGCGGCGUGCUUAACACAUGCAAGUCGAACGGAAAGGCCCUGCUUUUGUGGGGUGCUCGAGUGGCGAACGGGUGAGUAACACGUGAGUAACCUGCCCUUGACUUUGGGAUAACUUCAGGAAACUGGGGCUAAUACCGGAUAGGAGCUCCUGCAGCAUGGUGGGGGUUGGAAAGUUUCGGCGGUUGGGGAUGGACUCGCGGCUUAUCAGCUUGUUGGUGGGGUAGUGGCUUACCAAGGCUUUGACGGGUAGCCGGCCUGAGAGGGUGACCGGCCACAUUGGGACUGAGAUACGGCCCAGACUCCUACGGGAGGCAGCAGUGGGGAAUAUUGCACAAUGGGCGGAAGCCUGAUGCAGCAACGCCGCGUGCGGGAUGACGGCCUUCGGGUUGUAAACCGCUUUCGCCUGUGACGAAGCGUGAGUGACGGUAAUGGGUAAAGAAGCACCGGCUAACUACGUGCCAGCAGCCGCGGUGAUACGUAGGGUGCGAGCGUUGUCCGGAUUUAUUGGGCGUAAAGGGCUCGUAGGUGGUUGAUCGCGUCGGAAGUGUAAUCUUGGGGCUUAACCCUGAGCGUGCUUUCGAUACGGGUUGACUUGAGGAAGGUAGGGGAGAAUGGAAUUCCUGGUGGGGCGGUGGAAUGCGCAGAUAUCAGGAGGAACACCAGUGGCGAAGGCGGUUCUCUGGGCCUUUCCUGACGCUGAGGAGCGAAAGCGUGGGGAGCGAACAGGCUUAGAUACCCUGGUAGUCCACGCUGUAAACGGUGGGUACUAGGUGUGGGGUCCAUUCCACGGGUUCCGUGCCGUAGCUAACGCUUUAAGUACCCCGCCUGGGGAGUACGGCCGCAAGGCUAAAACUCAAAGGAAUUGACGGGGCCCCGCACAAGCGGCGGAGCAUGCGGAUUAAUUCGAUGCAACGCGUAGAACCUUACCUGGGUUUGACAUGGAUCGGGAGCGCUCAGAGAUGGGUGUGCCUCUUUUGGGGUCGGUUCACAGGUGGUGCAUGGCUGUCGUCAGCUCGUGUCGUGAGAUGUUGGGUUAAGUCCCGCAACGAGCGCAACCCUUGUUCACUGUUGCCAGCACGUUAUGGUGGGGACUCAGUGGAGACCGCCGGGGUCAACUCGGAGGAAGGUGGGGAUGACGUCAAGUCAUCAUGCCCCUUAUGUCCAGGGCUUCACGCAUGCUACAAUGGCUGGUACAGAGAGUGGCGAGCCUGUGAGGGUGAGCGAAUCUCGGAAAGCCGGUCUCAGUUCGGAUUGGGGUCUGCAACUCGACCUCAUGAAGUCGGAGUCGCUAGUAAUCGCAGAUCGGCAACGCUGCGGUGAAUACGUUCCCGGG